rnacentral:rRNA from 1 species
AUUGAACGCUGGCGGCAUGCUUUACACAUGCAAGUCGAACGGUAACAGGCCUUCGGGUGCUGACGAGUGGCGAACGGGUGAGUAAUGCAUCGGAACGUGCCCAGAGGUGGGGGAUAACGCAGCGAAAGCUGUGCUAAUACCGCAUGUGAUCUGAGGAUGAAAGCGGGGGACCAGGCAGCAAUGUUUGGCCUCGCGCCUUUGGAGCGGCCGAUGUCAGAUUAGGUAGUUGGUGGGGUAAAGGCCUACCAAGCCGACGAUCUGUAGCUGGUCUGAGAGGACGACCGGCCACACUGGGACUGAGACACGGCCCAGACUCCUACGGGAGGCAGCAGUGGGGAAUUUUGGACAAUGGGCGCAGGCCUGAUCCAGCAAUGCCGCGUGCGGGAAGAAGGCCUUCGGGUUGUAAACCGCUUUUGUACGGAACGAAAAGGCUCUGGCUAAUACCUGGGGCUGAUGACGGUACCGUAAGAAUAAGCACCGGCUAACUACGUG